UACGAAGGGGGCUAGCGUUGCUCGGAAUCACUGGGCGUAAAGGGUGCGUAGGCGGGUCUUUAAGUCAGGGGGUGAAAUCCUGGAGCUCAACUCCAGAACUGCCUUCGAUACUGGAAGACUCGAGUCCGGGAGAGGUGAGUGGAACUGCGAGUGUAGAGGUGAAAUUCGUAAAUAUUCGCAAGAACACCAGUGGCGAAGGCGGCUCACUGGCCCGGUACUGACGCUGAGGUGCGAAAGCGUGGGGAGCAAACAGG
rnacentral:rRNA from 1 species